UACGUAGGGUGCAAGCGUUGUCCGAAAUUUAUUGGGCGUAAAGAGCUCGUAGGCGGUCUGUCGCGUCGGAUGUGAAACCCAGGGCUACAACCCUGGGCCUUGCAUUCGAUACGGGCAAACUAGAGUACUGCAGGGGAGGACUGGAAGUUCCUGGUGUAGCGGUGAAAUGCGCCAGAUAAUCAGGAGGAACACCGGUGGCGAAGGCGGGACUCUGGGCCGAUACUGACGUGAGGAGCGAAAGCGUGGGGAG
rnacentral:rRNA from 1 species